rnacentral:rRNA from 1 species
UACAGAGGGUGCAAGCGUUGUUCGGAAUCAUUGGGCGUAAAGGGCGUGUAGGCGGUUUGUUAAGUCAUGUGUGAAUCCCUCGGCUCAACCGGGGAACGACGCAUGAAACUGACAGCUAGAGUACCAAAGAGGGGGUGGAAUUCCCGGUGUAGCGGUGAAUGCGUAGAUAUCGGGAGGAACACCUGUGGCGAAGGCGACCCCUGGUUGGAUACUGACGCUGAGACGCGAAAGCGUGGGAGCGAACAG